rfam:Lachnospiraceae bacterium ACC2 genomic scaffold supercont1.4, whole genome shotgun sequence.
GAUAACUGAUAGUUUGACAGGUGGAAUGACGGGGUAACGCCCUGAAACGCCUGCCCUCGGUGGGCAUGCAUAAGCUGUAAAGGCUUUUGUAUGAAGCCCCACGACAACGGCUGAGAGCAGCCGUACCGGCAGCCAAUGCCGGCGAAAGCGCCCCAGAGGUGGGGUGUGCUGCCUAUAAGCCAAGGGUCUAUAAG